GAGGAAGAGUCAGGGAAGGAGUCAGAUGCCUCUGCCUUGCUGCUGGCCCUUGAACCAGGGACUGAGCUGUACCAACGAUUCACUCUGGAGGAAUAUGCUGAGGAGCUGCUGGAACUGCCGGUGGCAGAGUCCACUGAGGGCCUGUGAGUGAUGAAGCCCUACAAACAGAUAGCACAUGGAGGGUGUCAUUGAUUUUAUGGAUGACUUAAUGAAGCCUAAAGACCUCUCAGAAGUGAACCAAUGUAUGCUGGUUUUAAAAGCCCAGAAAUUUAAGACCUACAAUGGUCUUUCCUCAGACUUGGUUGUUCAGGCCACAGUGCUAUCCUGUGGGGCAGAGAACCAUACAGAAUGAGCAAGAGAAGGUUUCUUGCAUCUUUAAACCAGAGGAUAGGUAUUUUACUAUGUAAACAUGAAUUUUAAAAUUGGGGUUGAAUUAUCUGAAUCUCAGUGUCCUAUGAUGCUGUUAUUUCUCACUGCAACUAGCUAGGUAGAUACAGAAUUAUUAAUGCCCUAUGAUGCAACUGGUCUCAAUCAAAUAGUUAGGAGGAACAACGUCCACUAUCCCCCUUUAGUUUGGGCAAACGUAACUUCCCGUACCUGGAGGUGGACUGCUAUUGUAAAUUUACCAAUGCAAAUGAAGAUGAUAAAACAGAUUUUCAUUGAGUUAGAGAGUGCAACCAGGUUUUGCACCUUUAAAUACAUUGGGUUAAAAAAAUACCUUUAGUUAAACCAGACCUAUGUUAUAAUACCUCACAGGUCUCAUCUGGGCAUUGAGCAGCUUACCUCAAUCAUUUUCCUGAGUGGCAUGCUCUGGGGUGAUAGUGAGAUGUAAUUUUUCUUGUUAAUUACCAAAAGCAGCAUUUGCUAAUAACUUAAUUCAUAUUUAGCACAAGUUAUUCUCCUAGUGAACUUCAAACCGUUGUAGAAAUCACUUUUCUCCUAACAUGGAUCUAGUUCCACUAUUGAUGAAGCCUCAGUUAAUGAAAAACUGAGGAUGCUGCUAGGAAAGCUAGUCCUUUGAUUAAAAUCAAUGAAACCUACAACACUAACUGAAAUCCUGGACUACAUGAUCUUAUGGCCAGAAUUCCAAUACAGUUUUGGACUAAGAUGAUAUUUUGUUUAGGAGCAAAGCAGUAACAGAUUUCAUCACUUGUUCUGGCCAAAAGGAAGCAAAAGAUCAGUGACUGGAAUAAUGUCUACUUUUUCUCUAUCUUCUUGUUUGGGGGAAUUGAAGGGUUUUCCCUCCUGUUAUAUGCCCCAUGUUAUGAGCUUAUUAAAGCUUGAGUGUCUUAUUAAAAUUA